GAUAUCUCACUGUGGUUUUGAUUUGCAUUUCUCUGGUGAUUAGUGAUGUUGGGAGCCUUUAGAGAACUGGCAGUUUCUGAUUCCCCUGCUGGAGUGACCACAUAGAGAGGCCUUGGUAGUAUGUGGAGAGGGAGAAUGGCCUGGCUGAGCCCGCCUUCCCAGCCAUUCCUGCAAAGGCCCCACCUAUGCAUGAAGCCUUCUUGGACCCUCCAUACUACUGAUCUACCUGCCAAAUGCCACCAAGUGACCCUAGCUGAUGCUACAUGGAGCAGAAGAACUGCUCAGCUAAACCCUUCCCGAAUUCCUGAUCCACACAAUUGUGAGAUAUAAUAAAACUGGGUGUUAGCAGCCAUCCUAAUGGGUGUGAGUUUUUUCAACAAAACUUUGACAAAGUUUUAAGCCACUAAAUUUGGGGAUAGUUUGUCAUGCAGCAAGAGAUAACUGGAACAGUGAGCAGAUGCCCUUUCUCUGCCUGUGGUUUGGAUUUGCCGCAUUAAAUAUACUGUAAAUGACAUGAACAGCUGGACAGCCGGCACAAUGCUCACAGGUCAGGAAGAGUGCGCCAUCUUUGACUUGUGCGCUCCUUCCUGACACAUAAUUUCUAGAGGAGCAAUACCUGAAACCCUGUCCUCCACCUACUGGUCUAUCCAUAGCCUCUCUUUGUGCAAUCACUGGGUUGUGCCUCAGGUGGUCUAACUGUAGGGCAUUAGGAUCUGUGCUGAAAAUAAAUGCAUGCUCACGACAUACUUUUGGGCUGAACUAAGGCCUAACACUGAUUUUGCUGCAGGUUAACGCCAGCACUAUAGGUGAUGAGAAGGUCUGAAUCUGUUGUGAUUGCACGCAUCGACAUAUGCCCAUUGCUCAUCUUUACUUGCAGGCCACCCUCCCACUCAUCAAUCCCCAUCAGCACACUCUCUGGCCCAUGACUGCAGUGAUGCAAGAAAACAGUGAGAUAGGAAGCUACACACCAGUUACCAGCCCUUCGAUAUUCUCUAAUGCCUUUUUACCCCAACCAGAAAGAAUGUGAGUUCCAGGCCGUCAGCACCUCCUUUGUCUUGCUGAACGAACGGAAGAAUUGAGAAACAGAAGAGCAUCUCCCUCUCCCCUGCCAAUAAUCUACUAGUACGCAGGCGUCUCACUGCUGUGGCCUCUCCUGUUGCGGAGCACAGGC